GGGGAAUAUUGGACAAUGGGCGCAAGCCUGAUCCAGCCAUACCGCGUGGGUGAAGAAGGCCUUCGGGUUGUAAAGCCCUUUUGUUGGGAAAGAAAAGCAGUCGGUUAAUACCCGAUUGUUCUGACGGUACCCAAAGAAUAAGCACCGGCUAACUUCGUGCCAGCAGCCGCGGUAAUACGAAGGGUGCAAGCGUUACUCGGAAUUACUGGGCGUAAAGCGUGCGUAGGUGGUGGUUUAAGUCCGUUGUGAAAGCCCUGGGCUCAACCUGGGAACUGCAGUGGAUACUGGAUCACUAGAGUGUGGCAGAGGGUAGUGGAAUUCCCGGUGUAGCAGUGAAAUGCGUAGAGAUCGGGAGGAACAUCAGUGGCGAAGGCGACUUUCUGGUCUGCAACUGACGCUGAGGCGCGAAAGCAUGGGGAGCAAACA
rnacentral:rRNA from 1 species